AACGAACGCUGGCGGCAGGCUUAACACAUGCAAGUCGAACGCGUGCAGCAAUGCACGAGUGGCGCACGGGUGAGUAACGCGUGGAUAUCUGCCUUUUGGUUCGGAAUAACCCCGGGAAACUGGGGCUAAUACCGGAUGGUUCCUACGGGAUAAAGAUUUAUCGCCAAAAGAUGAGUCCGCGUCCGAUUAGCUAGUUGGUGAGGUAAUGGCUCACCAAGGCGACGAUCGGUAGCUGGUCUGAGAGGACGAUCAGCCACACUGGGACUGAGACACGGCCCAGACUCCUACGGGAGGCAGCAGUGGGGAAUAUUGGACAAUGGGGGCAACCCUGAUCCAGCCAUGCCGCGUGAGUGAUGAAGGCCUUCGGGUUGUAAAGCCCUUUUGGCGGGGACGAUGAUGACGGUACCCGCAGAAUAAGCCCCGGCUAACUUCGUG
rnacentral:rRNA from 1 species